rnacentral:lncRNA from 1 species
ACGACAGUGCCUAGCAGAGGAGCUUCACUGCCGGUGAGGGAUUACCUCAGGUUAGGCUUUAAUGUUUCGUUGCCGUCUAGAGACGUUCUAGCAAUGUGACAUCUGUGUACCAUAUCUGGAAGUCUCCCUGUACGUCAAGAGCCCCUUAGGGGAGUCUCCCAUUGCCGCCGUGGGAACCUGUGUUUACAUUACGAGGAGAGAGAAUAGCUGUACUCUGAACUCAAACGCUCAAAACAUGCAGUGAGCGAAUGCUAGCAUAAUUUUCUUGCCUCUACCAGAAGGAAGGCUGGGUAUUUAGGAAACAGAACGCGUUGGGCACAACAUUCUGAGAAAAUGGACACAGAAAAUUAGGUUAUCCUAAUAGAAAAGCAGUUGCAUCUCCCAAAGUCAAGAGAUUCUGUAGGACUUCCGAUGUAUCUCCUGCUGUGUAAAAUAUUCAGGUUCCUGAAGUGGGGGACAUUUUUAGGGCAACUGUAAUUUCUUCAUUUUUUCCAUCCCACAAGUGCUGGAGGCAGCAGUGAUCUGAGCUCUAGAAAGUGACUGUCCGUCACCAUCGGAAACUUCCUUCUACUACUUAAAGUCCUCACAUUGGGCUGACCUGGGAAACAUGAAGAUAAAAAGAGUGGGUAAACAUGCCUGCUUGAUGAGCCAGAAAAAAAGGCAGAAACCUGUGGUCUGGGUAGAACAGAUCCUGCUCAGAAUGGGACCUUACAGUCUAAUGAGGAAAAAACGUGUGCAGACAUAUAUAAGAUAAGUGAGAGAGUCGGAGAAGAACAUCAGAAGUGAUAUUUGAGCAUAGUAAGGUCAAAGAAGUUUCAAAGUUUAGUCAUUUGUCCAUUCAGUAACUAUUUAUAGAGCAUCUUCUGUGUGCUAGGCACUAUAUAAGAAAUUAAGGGGCUGGGUGUGGUGGCUCAUGCCUGUAAUCCCAGCACUUCGGGAGGCUGAGGCAGGUGAAUCACCUGAGGUCAGGAGUUCGAGACCAGCCUGGCCAACAUGGUGAAACCCCGUCUCUACUAAAAAUACAAACAUUAGCCAAGUGUAGUGGCGCAUGCCUGUAAUCCCAGCUACCCUGGAGGCUUAAGCAGAAGAACCGCUGGAACCCAGGAGAAGAAGGCUACCAUGAGCCGAGAUUGCACCAUUGCACUCCAGCCUGGGCGACAGUGAGACUCUGUCUCAAAAAAAAAAAAAAGAAAGAAAGAAAGAAAUAAAAAAAAAAGAAAUUAAGGAUACACAGAAGAAAAGGCAUGGUCUGUGCCCUGAAGGAGCUUACAGUUAAGCAGAGAAGUUGCACGAUUUGGAAGUAGUAAGGUAAAUUGAGUCAGAUUUUGAAAGGCAAUGUAGAGCUGUUAGAAGUUUAUUCGCACAGGUAGCCAGGCACAGUGGCUCAUGCCUGUAAUCCCAGCACUUUGGGAAGCCAAGGUGGCAGAUCACUGGAGGUCAGGAGUUCAAGACCAGCCUGGCCAACACAGUGAAACCCCAUCUCUACUACAAAUACAAAAAUUAGCCAGAUAUGGUGGCAUAUGCUUGUAAUCCCAGCUACUCGGGAGGCUGAGGCAGGAGAAUCGCUUGAAUCCGGGAGGCAGAGGUUGCAGUGAGCCGAGAUCGUGCCACUGCAGUCUAGGCUGGGCAAACAGAGCCAGACUCUGUCUCAAAAAAGAAGUUUAUUCAGACAGGGAAAGAAGGCGAGAAGGGGCAGAUAUGUGAAAUACAUCCUCCUAAACCAAGUCAGAGCAACUGGAGAGGGAGGUGGAGCAGUUAGCAAUCGGAAGCAUUCAAGUUUCAUUCAGGGGUAUAAACCAGGAAAAGUUGUUCUGGCCCCUCAUCUGGUUUCAUGAAGGACAAUAUCUAGCAUGAGAGUGACAGGGGUUAGAAUAAUGGACAUUUUGGGGACUGGGUCCUAGCAGAAAUGAUGGAAUAAUGGAACAGGAGUUUGGAUGAAUGGGCAUAUUAUGGGAUUAAAGAAGAUUUGAAUACAAGCUUUCCUAAUAAAUGAAAGGGGAGGUGAAACUAGAGCAUGCUGAUGGCUGCACAGCAUUGUGAAUGCACUAAAUGCACUAACUGUCCACUUUAAAAUGUUUAGUAAUAUGUCGAUUUUACCUAAAUAAAAAAAAGGAAGCAACAU